rnacentral:rRNA from 1 species
CCUACGGGAGGCAGCAGUGGGGGAUAUUGGACAAUGGGGGAAACCCUGAUCCAGCGACGCCGCGUGAGUGAAGAAGUAUUUCGGUAUGUAAAGCUCUAUCAGCAGGGAAGAAAGAAAUGACGGUACCUGAGUAAGAAGCCCCGGCUAACUACGUGCCAGCAGCCGCGGUAAUACGUAGGGGGCAAGCGUUAUCCGGAAUUACUGGGUGUAAAGGGAGCGUAGACGGUAAUGCAAGUCUGGAGUGAAAGGCGGGGGCCCAACCCCCGGACUGCUCUGGAAACUGUGUAACUGGAGUGCAGGAGAGGCAGGCGGAAUUCCUAGUGUAGCGGUGAAAUGCGUAGAUAUUAGGAGGAACACCAGUGGCGAAGGCGGCCUGCUGGACUGCAACUGACGUUGAGGCUCGAAAGCGUGGGGAGCAAACAGGAUUAGAUACCCUAGUAGUC